UAGGCUGCAACUCGCCUACACGAAGCUGGAAUCGCUAGUAAUCGCGGAUCAGCACGCCGCGGUGAAUACGUUCCCGGGCCUUGUACACACCGCCGUCACACCAUGAGAGUCUGUAACACCCAAAGCCGGUGGGAUAACCUUUAUAGGAGUCAGCCGUCUAAGGUAGGACAGAUGAUUAGGGUGAAGUCGUAACAAGGUAUC
rnacentral:rRNA from 1 species